rnacentral:rRNA from 1 species
UACAGAGGGGGCAAGCGUUGUUCGGAAUUACUGGGCGUAAAGGGCGCGUAGGCGGCCUUCUAAGUCGAACGUGAAAUCCCCGGGCUCAACCCGGGAACUGCGUCCGAUACUGGAGGGCUUGAAUCCGGGAGAGGGAUGUGGAAUUCCAGGUGUAGCGGUGAAAUGCGUAGAUAUCUGGAGGAACACCGGUGGCGAAGGCGACAUCCUGGACCGGUAUUGACGCUGAGGAGCGAAAGCUAGGGGAGCAAACGGG